UUUGUACUUUGCGGAUUUAUGCAGGUUUCCUCAUGAUGUUUUCCUUCACCGAAAAGCUUGUGGUAAAUAUCAAAUAAUAUUCCAUACAUAAGUUCCGAAAACUCAUUGGUACGAGCAGGAUUUGAACCCGCAACCUCCGGAUUGAAUGUCAGAUAUCAGAUCCACUCAGCCACCACAGCUUUUUACAUAUUUAUAAUUUUUUAACAGGUACUGUACAUACAAUGUAAUAUAUAGCUUAUGAGAAAUCAUUUAUUGUUUAGAAAAGGAACAUUAUUCAAAACGUAAAACAAUAAUGACAAAAUAUGUCUGGUAGAAAAAAAAUCGCAAAAAAACGUGGGGUACAUUAUAUUACUUUCGUAAUAAUAGACUGCAAAACACCGUGUUGCGCGCGCUAAAGCGCGUCACAACCAAAUCAGCGCUCUGCAGUUAUUUAUUCUUUGACCACAAUUACUGCGAUAUUAUAGCACUUGGGCUAUACACAACCAAGGAAGGCACGGAGCGACGAGCGACACAGCCUGCUCGUCUCAAAGCUGGCACACGACUGACGGGUGAUUUUUUUUAAUUUAAAAUUGAUGUUAAGAGGAAUUCCUAGUUGCGAUUUUUCCAUACAAACGCUCUCGACUGAUUCCUCCCUGGAUUUUUAACCUAGAGCAUUGAUUUUUUCAAAUAGAUCAAUAUCAUCAAUAUCUGUGCCGCUAUGUUUUGCUUUUUUGGAUUAUUUUAUUUUGAAGAAAGAUACAGUGCCUCGAAAAUCGCAAAAACGGCUCAAUUGAAUUGGCUGUAAAAAAAGGCACAGUAUACAAAUAUGACAAAAAAUAUCCAAAAAAUCAAAACAUAGCGGCAUACAUUAUUUCUUCCUCUUGCAGUUUCCAAAAUUUCAUAAAGAUUGAUUGCGUUUUGGAGGAGGAAACAGUCGAGAGCGAAACCUCGAUUUUUGAGUUUUUUGCGUGUCUGAGCUGCAGUUGUUGUUGGAAAUUGUAUUCUCAACACUGGCAACACCUAUGUUCGUUGUGUCACUUCACUUCCUUGAUGGCUUACCAUGAUGGCCGCUGUAUGUGAGUUAGGUAUGUUAAACUAAUUUAAUAUUAUAAUGAAUAGUAGAAUUAGUGGGGUGUAAGGGGUUCAAAUAACAUCUUGCGAAUCCUAGCCAACCUCUCCUGCUCGUGGUGCACCCUGCUGGACUACUAACGAGGCUCUGGCAAAUGUAAUUCCCUUCGGGGUUUUGGAGGUCAGACGGCAGUCGGUCAAUUAUUAUGGAAAUGUCGGAUAAAGUUUUGGGUACUAUGGCUAGGGCGUCGCCGCAUAACGACGCGCAGGCUCAUCGCCCUACACCUGCGACCAGUGGACUAGGGCUACCGUGUCGAGUACGGGCACGGUUAAAGACGCAAGUACCUAAAGUGAAACUCCGCUUUGCCACCUGGAAUAUAGGUUCUCUAACAGGCCGCUGCCGAGAACUAGCAGACGUGCUGAUGAAACGCAGGGUGCAUGCAGCAUUCCUACAAGAGACUCGUUGGAAGGGGAACAAGUCACGUGAGAUCGGUCAGGGAUACAAACUGAUUUACAGCGGGUCUCCUUCAGGGAAGAAUGGCGUAGCGGUAGUACUGUCUGAAGAGUUCAAGAAAGGUCUCCUUGAAGUUGAUAGGUUGAGCGAUCGACUCAUUCGGGUGAAGCUACUGAUAGAAGGUGCUGUCACACAUCUUAUAGGUGCUUAUACUCCCCAAGUCGGUUGCCAGCAAUCAGAGAAAGAGGCCUUCUGGGAUAAGUUCGAAGACGUCCUGCGCUGCAUUCCAACCUCAGAGAGCAUAAUCGUGGGUGGAGACUUGAACGGGCAUGUAGGUGAGGACUCACGGGGGUUUGAACGUGUCCACGGGGGUUACGGCUAUGAUCGUGCAAACGCAGAGGGAGAUUCAAUUCUUAGGACCUGUCGUGUAUCAGAUCUAGCAGUAGUGAACUAGUGAACACUUUCUUUCAAAAUAAACCUGAGCACCUCAUAACCUACAAGUAGGUCACACUCCACCCAGAUAGACUACCUGCUCAUAAGAAGGAGCCAAAUCGGCAAAGUGUCUAACUGCAAAGUUAUUCCUGGCGAAAGCCUCACAUCGCAACACCGCAUCCUUGUCAUGGACAUGCUGGUAAUACCGAAGAAGAAAGAACCCGAGCGACGUAGGCCCAGGACUAAGUGGUGGCUGCUGAAUGGACCAAAAGGGGAUGACUUCCACGAGGCCGCUCUAACUUUAGAUUUAAGAAUAAGAAUAAGAAUAAGAAACCAUUUAUUGCCACACAAAAUACAAUGUUUCAAUUAAAAAUAAUAAAAAUAGGCAUGCGCGGCAAAAGGAACGGACUCAGCGUACGCUGCGUCAGCCAUUUUAUUACAAAUUGAUUGCGCAGCGCUGAUUUUCAGUCCGUCCCCUUCACUGAACCACAUUGAUAUGACAUGCGGGUUAAUGGAUUUUUUGUUUUAUUACCAGAGAUAGCUAGUGUAUACAAUUAUAGUACGAAAAAAAUAAAGAAAUUUGUAUUACAAGUGAAAAUUUAAUAUUUUAAUUUGGUAUUUACUUGAUAUUGACAACUGGUUACAUUUAUAACUCAAGUAUUUUACUGAAUAGGUACAAACAAUGCCAUAGUCAUAAGUUUCGUUCAUUGAAACGUACAGCUAUAAGUAAUAGUACUUUUUGUAUGAGAGAAUACUUAUAAAUAAAAUAAAAAAAUACAAACUUAUAAACAACAGGAAUAGUAAGUGUCCAAAAUAUAGCACAACACCAUUUUAAAUAAUUAUAUCCUCUGAGGAAAUUUGGUAAUUUAAUAAAAGUAAGCUCAAUUUGCCUUUAAAGGUUGGAAGGGACAUUUUAGCUCGCAAUGGCGGUGGUAGGUCGUUCCAGAUCUUAGAUGCAGAGUAUUUGAGGCUACCACGAUAACCUGCUGUUUUAUUUACGCCCAAGCGAGGAAGAUUCCGCCGAUAGUCAGUGCUCUAAGAUUCAGUCAGCAGUCAGCGCACUGGGUAAACGGGUGCUCGGCACUUCCAAGGGAGGCCGAGUCAUCGACAAGGAGACGUGGUGGUGGAAUGACUCAGUGCAGAAGGCAGUUCGGGAGAAGAAGACACUUUUUAAAAAGUGGCAAGAAACCGAAUCCCCUGAAGACCGUGAAUCGUACAAAGCAGCCAAAUGUGCCGCAAAACGAGCCGUUGCCAAAGCCCGGCAAGACCAAUUGUCACCAUUGUAUGACGUAUUGGAGACCAAAGAGGGCCAAAAAUCCAUCUUUCGCUUGGCAAAGGCCCGGGAGAAGUCAACACAAGACAUAACCAAAUGUCUGUGUAUUACUGACUCCAACGGCACUUUGGUUUGCGACGUAUUCCGAGUAAAGGAGAGGUGGCGUAGCUACUUUAACGAGUUGCUGAACACGCAACACGCAAAUGUCUCUCCUCCGGAACUGCCCCCUAAUAUUGGACUUGUUGCCCCUAUUACACCAGAUGAGGUGCAAAAUUGUCUUCGCAACAUGAAAAACCGGAAGGCCGUGGGUCCUGACGACAUACCGAUUGAAGCGUGGAAAUCGAUGGGUCCUCAUGGUGUGAUCAUACUUACUGACCUUUUUAAUCGCAUACUCACCAGCCGCAAGAUGCCCAAUUCAUGGAGAUUGAGCAUUAUAACGCCAAUUUAUAAAGGCAAAGGUAGUGUACAGGACUGUGGAAGCUACCGAGGUAUUAAGGUCAUGUGUCACACCAUGAAACUCUUCGAGCGCGUAAUCGACUCAAGGCUCCGGCAAGAGUGCACGGUCUCGGAGUGUCAGUAUGGGUUUCGUCCUGGCUGUGGCACUAUAGAUCCCAUCUUUGCCCUAAGAAUGCUAGUCGAGGCCUACAGAGAAAAGAAAAAGCCCUUGCAUAUGGCUUUUCUGGAUCUGCAGAAGGCCUUCGACUGCGUACCGCGCCAGGUAAUCUGGUGGGCUUUGAAGGAGAAGAAUGUGCCACAAACCUAUAUUGAUAUUAUCCGAGACAUGUACCACAAUUCAAAAUCCAUAGUAAGGACCGCCGUUGGCGAUACUCACCCAUUCCCUAUCACAGUUGGCGUUCACCAAGGCUCAGCCCUGAGUCCUUUUCUGUUCAGCGUAGUGCUAGACAUUGUUUCGGCAAAAGUCCAUGAACUGUCCGUGGCUGUAACGAACACAUUCGUGGCAGCCUUGGAAUUCGUGACGUAGCGGAUAAGCUGCAGGAAAGUCGCCUCCGAUGGUAUGGCCAUAUAAGCCGCAGACCAGUAGACUACGUCGGAAAUAGAUGCCUCAACCUCACUGUCCAAGGCCCUAGAUCACGCGGCCGCGGUAGGCCUAAGAAGCGCUGGCUGGAGGUCGUGAGAGCGGACAUGGUGGAGAGCAAUCUCACAUCUGAGGAUGCCGAAGAUCGGGCAAAGUGGAGAAGAUUAAGUAGGAGAGCGGACCCUGGCGCUAGGCCGGGAAAACGCUAGGUUGAAGAAGAAGAAUGAAUAGUAGAAUUGUGUUAUCGUGUCUCCUGCUGUUACCCGCCUGACAAACAUGAAGUGGAUGUAUUGUAUAUAAUACAGAUUGCUUCAUCUGCACUAUGUGAGUUUUAUUUAAGAAGCCAACCUCCUAGCUAGCCACUAACACGCCGUAUUUCACAGCGCCGAUAUCUCCUACAGUUUAUGGCCCCAGAUAUGUGGCAUAUGAUUAGACUUAUUUGAUAAAUAAAGAGGCAGAAGGCUAUAAGCGAUUGGCUGGAAAAUAACUUGAAAUUCGAACUCACUUAACCUCAUUUGCAACGUGCUUGGUGUGGUAUAACCUCUAAUUGUGUUCGUCGCCGCGCAAGAUGGAGAACGCUCAUGCUAAUCCUAUAACUUCAAGCUUUAGCGGCGGAAUGCUUAUCGAGAAAUUGGAUGGCCUUGGAAACUUCACGCCAUGGAAGUUUAUGUGCAAAAAUGCAUUAACCCUUUACCAGGCUAAGGGAGAUAUAUUUCCCACAUACGGCACUUCAAACUUGUGUUCUAUUUUCGAUGAGUAAGACUGACAUUCGAUUUUCAUUUUUGAACUGUCAGCCUGAUAAAGGGUUAAUAUUGGAAGGAUUUUGGCCAUCUGUCACGGGGGACGACAACGAUCCAAUAAAAAUACAGCGUGCCUUAGCCAGAAUCUUUAAGCCUAAAACCCACACUUUUUCAAUUGCUUCACGGUAUAAAUACAGCAAAAGAUGCUUGGGAAAAACUUAGCUCCGUUUUCGAAGACAAAGGUUUAUUUAGGCGUGUGAGCUUACUUCGCCGAUUGCAUCGAAUAGAACUGGGACAGUGUGCAAGCAUGACAGCUUAUAUUGAUAAUAUAUUCACAUUAGUUUCCCAAUUGGCAGAUAUUGGCAAAAUAAUUGAAGAUGGAGAAAUAGCGGAGAUUCUCCUCGCAGGACUCCCGCAAGAUUAUGACACUUUAGUUUCAGCUUUGGGAACUGCUUCAAUCUCACAUUCUUUGAAAUCCGAGUUAGUUCGAGCCAGGCUGCUUCAAGAAGAUUUCCGGAGAGUUAGCACAGAUACUAAUGGGAAUAGCGCAUUUGCUGUUAGCAAUAGUAGUUAUAAAAAGAAGAUUGUCUGUCACUAUUGCCACAAACCAGGACACAUUAAGUCAAAAUGCUUCAAACUCAAAAGACAGAACAAUAAGGAAAACCAUAAAGAAGAAAAGACUCUAGUUGUUUCUUCGUUCAUGGCUUCAGCGGAAGAACCUGUUGUGGACUUUAUUGUGGAUAGUGGAACGAUAUCUCAUAUGGUUAAUAAUUGUGAUAUUUUUGAUAAUUUAAAGGACUCUAAAAUAAACAUUAACUGUGCUGACAAAUCUUCCAAAUUAGAGAGCUGUGGUGUCGGGGAUGUUCAUGUAAGCAUUGAUGAUUCUGUUAGAGUUAUUAAGAAUGUGAUGUAUGUGUGAAAAGGGUUUGGUAGUGGUUUUUAAAAAUGAUGGCUGUUUUAUUUAUGAAAAAUGUACUUUAGAGGGCAAACCUGUUAUGUCAGCUGAUUUAUGUAAGGGUGUGUACCGAUUGUGAGGUAUUUGUGCAAAGGAGCAGUCGAUGGCUACUCUGCAUCAAGUGCAGGGAUCACAGACUGCAAAGUUAGCUGUGUCAGAUGCAAAGAAAGCAUCGCUAUGGCAUUCAAGAUUGGGUCAUCUUGGUUUGAAUGGAAUGGUGAGAGAGAGUGCGGCACGUGGUGUCUCUUUUCAGAUGGGCGAUGACAGCAUACAGCAUUGCGUCGCGUGUCUUAAGGGGAAGCCAGUGGCCAAGGCUUACCCUAUGGAUGGCGCUAGGAGUGCUAGCAAGCUUCUCGAACUGGUGCAUUCAGACGUCUGCGGCCCGAUGAGUGACGACAGCUGGGGUGGUGCGCGUUACCUCUUGACCCUUACUCAAGAAAGACCUUUGGAUAUUUAAUGAAAAAGAAGUCUGAGGUAAUGUCUUGCUUUGUUAAUUUUAAGAAUGUAGUCGAAAAGCAGACUGGUUUGCAGAUUAAGUGUCUACGCUCUGAUAAUGGUGGUGAGUACUGCAAUGAAACUUUCAAGGAGUUUUUAGCAAAGGCGGGCAUACUACACCAACUGACAGUACCUUACUGUGCUCCCCAGAAUGGUGUAUCCGACCGCCAGAAUAGGGUGAUUUUGGAGAAGGCUAGGUGCAUACUUCUACAGGCAGGUCUCUGCAAUCGAUUUUGGGGCGAGGCUGUUAUGACAGCAAUUUACCUCAAGAAUCGCAGCCCUACCAGGGCGUUGGCAGGACAGUUGCCGGAGGAGGUCUGGUCCAGACAUAGUGUUGAUCUUGGACACCUUCGAGUGUUUGGUUGCAUAGCAUUUUUUUUGUUGCCGGAGCCUACUCGCACUAGUAAGUUGUCAGCUAAGUCAAAAAUGUGUAUUUUUGUUGGCUAUUCAGAGACUACAAAGGGAUACAGACUUAUUGAGGCAUCAAAUCCCACUAAGGCUAUUUUGUCAAGGAAUGUAGACUUUUUAGAAGAUAAAUUUUAUAGGAAUUUUAAAAAAGAACUAAAUAAUAAUAAUUUUAUUGAUCACUUGAUAAUUCCUUCUGUGCAAUAUUUUAAUGAAUUGAAUGGAACUAAUAAUGAUAUAUGCAAUAACGAAAUAAAUAUUGAACAAAGUGCAAAUAAUGAUUUAGAGUCUAGUCAAUCAAAUGAAAAUUCUAGUCAAAAUGUAAAUGAAUUGUCUGAUUCAAAUGAUGAUGAGCAGAACAAUACUUAUAAUUUUUCGUAUGAAUUUACAGAUGCUGAGUCUGGCAAAGACAGCAACGGUGAGGAAGAAUCCUCUGCCGAGCAGUAGUCACCUGAUGCGGAGCUGCUUUCGGAGCCGAUGCCCGCAGGAAACACUGCAGUUCGAGGGGAAGGCGCGACUAGUUCAGAGGAACCUGUAACUGUCAGCAGCCGCCCUGUUCGAGCCACUCGUGGUAAACCACCGACUAGAUAUGGUGACUAUGAAUUGGGUAUGUUUGCCAGCUCUAUAUUAGAUGAACCUCAAACAUAUGAAGAGGCGGUAGCAUCAUGUAACUCUUAUGAAUGGAAAAAGUCAAUGGAAAUUGAAUAUAAUUCAUUAAUUGAGAACAAUGUGUGGCAGUUGGUUGAUAGACCCAUUGACACAAAUGUCAUUAAAUGCAAGUGGGUUUAUAAACUUAAACAUGACACAUCGGGUAAUUUUGAUAGAUAUAAAGCUCGCUUAGUUGCUCGCGGCUUUACACAAAAAGAAGGUAUAGAUUAUAUAGAUACAUUCUCUCCUGUCGUGCGUCAUUCAACGAUGCGUAUUCUAUUCUCAUUGGCUAAUGAAUAUGAUAUGUCCAUAGAGCAUAUUGAUGUCACCACGGCAUUUUUGAACGGCGACUUCAAUGAGAGGAUCUAUAUGGAGCAACCAAAAAGGUUUUGUGACUGAUGAACGAAAGGUUUGUUUAUUGCGAAAGAGCAUUUAUGGGCUAAAACAAGCCAGUCGCAUGUGGAACCUGAAAGUUCAUGAUUUGCUCUCUAAAAAUGGUUAUAUACAGAGCAAAACUGAACCUUGUGUUUACAUACGUAAGCGUGAUAAUGAUCUUACCAUUAUAGCUCUCUAUGUGGAUGAUUUUUACAUUUUUUCUACAUGUGAUACAAAGGGUUUAUAUAAUUUGUUGCAGCAACAUUUUAAUGUAAAGCAUUUAGGUUCAUUAACAAGCUGCUUGGGAAUGCGAGUCACUAGAGAUACAAAUGUAUUAAUAUUAGAUCAAAAGGAAUAUAUUCGCAAAUUGCUUAAGAAAUUUAAUAUGUUACAAUGUAAAACUGUUUCCACACCUUUAGUACCGAACUGUAAAUUAAAGUCAGACACGGAACCACUAGAUGAUGAUGUUUAUAAAUACAGGCAACUGGUCGGCUGCCUUAUGUAUCUUUCAGUGUGUACAAGGCCUGAUAUUACAUUUAGCUGUAGUCAGCUAAGUCAAUUUUUAUGUACAACAAGGUACAUGACUUGGAACAACAAGGUACAUGACUUGCUUUCUACCAAUUCGUUUGUGCAGAGCAAAUGUGAGCCCUGUGUCUAUAUUAAAAGGUCACAAAAUGAUCUUGUCAUUAUAACCUUGUAUGUAGACGAUUUUUAUUUGUUUUAUAGUAGAGACAGCAGCAAUUAUAAAGAAUUGUUAAAAUUAUUGGAAAGUAAUUUUAAAUAUAAAGAACCUUGGUCCUCUUAAGAAUUGUUUAGGAAUGAAUGUCACUCGUGAUAGGUCCAAGGGUAUUUUAAUUUUAGAUCAGUCUGAAUAUAUAAGGAAAUUACUUGUCAAAUUUGGAAUGCAAAAUUGUAAACCUGUCUCGACACCCAUGUUGCCAAAUAGUACUUAAGCUUGUUAUGCCUAAAGAAGGUCUUGACGAUGAUGUGUAUAACUUUAGAAAGCUUAUGGGUUCUCUUAUGUACUUGUGCGUAUGUACAAGGCCCGAUAUUGCAUAUUCCUGCAGUCAGCUAUGUCAAUUUAAUAAUUGUUUUGAUUUAAGUCAUUGGCUGGCAGCGAAACGUAUAUUAAGGUAUUUGUCUGGGACAAUUAAUUAUGGUUUGGUAUUUACAAAACAUAAUAAUUGGAACUUGAAUGCCUUUGCAGACGCAGAUUGGGCUAAUGAUUGUACCGAUAGAAAGUCCUACAACGGUUUUAUAAUUAAACUUGGUAACGAUACAAUCAACUGGGAAUCCAGGAAACAGCGGUGUGUAGCACUUUCUAGCACAGAAGCAGAGUAUUUGGCAAUGAGCGAUGCUUGUAAAGACAUAUGUUUUAUCAAAAAUUUCAUAUCAGAGAUUAUAAACAUUGUACUGUGCAUAAACUUGCGUAAUAAUAACCAGAGUCUUUAGAAGUCAAAGAGUUUUGUCAUAAAAGAACCAAACAUAUAGAUUUACGUUAUCAUUAUGUUAAAGAUUUAGUAAGAAAUAAUUCUUACUCUGGGUGCUACAAUAGUAUUUUAUGCAACAGUUGUAUAAGAAGGGUCAAAAAAGGCGAGUGGCGUGAGUUACAAUGUGAGCCGGAGCCGAAGGCGUAGGCGAACAUUGUAAAUGAAUACGCCACGAGCAUUUUUUGACCUACUUAUACAACGUUGCAUACAAUAUUUUUCCUACGAGUCAACAAAAAUAAAUCUUAAUUUAGGUAAACAAAGCAAAAGUAUAUAGCCAAGACGCGCGAGCAUACCUUGUUACGCGCCCAGCCCGCCUCAUGAGGCCCUGAUACUUGCUACUUGUAAAUUAAAUUUUUGGACAGUUUUUUCUCAAUUUUGGCCACCGUAGCCUACGGAGACUAACAAGCAACGCUAAGCGGUCUUCUUAGUCUAUGGGUGUUGCUAUAUUACGGGUGUCACAUGCGUGUUUCUGACUUAUGAAGUAAUUAUUUUUACUAUGCAACCAAAUGAAUAUUUUGUAAGUUGGCAGCAAUGCACUGAGUUUAAACUGUAUUCGUUUUGGUUUUGUUAGGUUGGUAGCCAUUAAUCGCAGUAACGUUAUAGCGAUUAAAAGCACAAGAGCUUUUAUGAGGAAUAAACAAUAUAGACUUUUCUUGAAACCUUUUAUGUAUGUUCUUAUAUUCGUGUUAAUGAAUGCAUAAAUGACAGAUAACAGUAGAGGAGUAGGAAAAACAUAAAAAGUUUAUUGAGGCUUGUAAUGUAAAACAUAGAAUGUAUGUAUAUAAUAAAUAAGCAUAGUGUACAACUGUUUAUUUGUAAUUCUUGCUGUGAAUUUAUACACAUGUUUUAUGUUCUGCUUGCCGUUACUUAUGCAUGUUGUCAGUGUUACUCCAUUAUAAAGCAUAAGAGGGCGUGUUAAAUUGCGUUUAGCAUAUUAAUUGUAUGCAUUAUAAUAACCAUAAACUAAGUUUUUAUGGUGCAAUACCGAAACGUCGCCUAUGGCUGAUUGUUUUUUUGUCUGUGGCCACUUCCUUCUGUCUUGUCUGCCUUUUGUGCUCGUCAUGUAUAUCUAAAUGUAAAUUUUAUUUCAAUAUACCAAAAGUCAUGAGUGAUUAAUUGUAUUAUUUAUAAGCUCCGCAAUCCCGCGCCGUUCUCGGUUCCCGGCUCCUGUCAUCGUUGUAUGUAUCCUGCAAAUCUUCAUUCCAGUCGAUCUACGUGACCUCCUAUAUUUACCAUAAUUCGAAAUAUUUUACUGAAUUACGAAAAUAAGAUCCCUCCGCGUCCAUCCGUAUUCGGUGUGAAUUCAGUCCAAAACUAAAUAAAAACAGUGAGCGUUUUACAGUAAACAGUGAAUCAUUUGACGUCUGCACGUUGCUAUCGCGGACUCUGGUUGGAGUGGUUGGUCAACGCGUGUCACGCGUUUGUUUUCUUCCUCGCAGCUCAUCCAAGGUAUCUUUAUUAUCAAAUUGCCCAACGACCACGUAGCAAUAUUUAUAAUGACCAGACAAUGUGAUAAAUAAUGAAGUUCAAAUAAUAAAUUAUCACUUGGCCCGAUAUAGCUUGCUAUUAUUCAUAAUGCCCGGGCAUUAUAUAUAAUGCCCACAUUAAUCACUUGGUCCAUAACAUAUAUAUUUAUAUUAUAGCAAUUUUUCUAGCGGUAAAACAUAAAAUGUUAUCUGUUUAGUUUAACUUACAUGUGUGUUUUAACUAGGGCUCACAUACUAAUACCCGUAGUUGUAUGUCUAAUUAUUAACAAUCCUAAUGAAUAACAUGAACCAUUGUUUUUUCAAUCCAAAUCUGAGUAUGCCAAAGGUCAUUGAAUCGUUAUUUCUCUGUUUUUUUAGGAUUCCGUAGCCAAAAUUGCAAAAACGGAACCCUUUUAGUUUCGUCAUGUCCGUCCGUCCGUCUAUCCGUAUGUAUGUCACAGCAAUUUUCUUGGAAACUAUAAGACAUGUUUUAAUAAAAUUCCACGGGUUAACUAAUUAUACACUAAACCUUCCUCAAGUAUCACUCUAUCGAUACGUAAAAACCGCAUAAAAAUCCGUUCAGCAGUUUUUGAUUUUAUCGCGAACAUACAUACAGACAGACGCGGCGUAGGACUUUGUUUUAUAAAGUGUAGUGAUAGGCAUAAAAUUCAACUUUGUGCCUAUAGUAUAACAUUCCUUCACAUAAUUCUAUUCAGUCAGAAUGAAAUCAAGCGUACUUUCUCAAUUAUAAAGCUAUAUUUGUUAUUACUUGUAGGUACCUACCUACACCUAUUAAUGUAGGUAUGCAACAACAAUCGUUUGGUGUUCGAUCACAGCAAGAUACAUGUUAUUGUUUAAAUAUAAAGUCAUCUAUUACUCGAAAUAAUUUAAGUGAUUACCUCUAUCCAACGAAAUGUAUUUCACUCGAAAUAUCCUCAUGUUUACGAUAAUAUUUACGAUUAUUUGCGCUGUGAAUUUGGCUUUUGGUAACCAACAAACUCCAGCUGGUAGUACCAGGCGGACGGCAACUACUAAGAGAAAGGCUAUUACAGCUGUUAACUACAGAAGAACGUCACCAAAAACGACAACUCGCUUAACAAUCGGAGAUGUAUAUCAAGGAUUUACGACAAAGGAAUAUUUUGGUUUUUGGAAGCAUUUGAAAAUGAUUACAUUGGAUCCAUUUACACUGUUUACCACUGGCAAUGGCACUAAUGCAACAACACAGGCUGGAAAAUAAGGCAUGAAGAUUAAUUUAAAAAACCGGUCAAGUGCGAGUUCCAUUUACUCCCACACUGAGAGUUCAGAAAGAACUUUGAAUUAUCUUGCGUAACUAUAAAGGCGAAAGUCUUUUCAUCAGAAGUACCUAUACAAAGUAUAAUUGUGUACAGCGCCAUCCAUCGGCGAAAUGUCUAAUUUGCGCGAUGUAAUGCACGUAUGUAUGUUGGUUUUUCGAGGAUAAUUCUCUAUCAUGUGAACCGAUUUCAAAAAUUGUUCUAUUAUUAGAAAAAAGGUGUCUUUAAUGUAAUCUCAUAGACAUUUCCACACGUAAAAUUGGUUAACUUGCAAAGUGAAUUCGGAAAUGUUUUUCGUUAAUAAAAGAAAGUUACCAAGAUA